ensembl:snoRNA
AUCCUUUUGUGGUUCAUAAGCAUGAUGAUUGGGUGUUCACACCCACGUGUGAGAUGUGCCUCCCUCAAACCUUGUUACAACUUCAACCAUUACCCAUCUGACA